rnacentral:rRNA from 1 species
AAACGGUAGCUAAUACCGGAUACGACCUUUCCACACAAGUGGAAUUGUUAAAAGGCGGAUUUAUCUGCCGCUCAUGGAUGGGCCUGCGGGUGCAUUAGCUAGUUGGUGAGAUAGUAGCUCACCAAGGCGACGAUGCAUAGCCGACCUGAGAGGGUGAUCGGCCACACUGGGACUGAGACACGGCCCAGACUCCUACGGGAGGCAGCAGUAGGGAAUCUUCCGCAAUGGACGAAAGUCUGACGGAGCAACGCCGCGUGAGUGAUGGAAGGGUUUCGGACUCGUAAAACUCUGUUAGUUAAGGAAGAAUACUUGAGGUAGUAACUGGCUUGAGAUGACGUACUUAACAGAAGCACGGCUACUACGUGCAGCAGCCGCGGUAAUACGUAGGUAGGCAAAGCGUUAAUCCGGAAUUACUUAGGGCGUAAAGCGCGGACGUAGGACGGUAAAAUAAGUACUAGAUAGUACGAAACGCCCCGGCUACGAACCGGGGAGGUACAGUUAGGUAACUAGUUUUACUAGUAGUACAGAGAGGAGAGUAGAAUUCGAUGUAGUAGACGGUAGUAAAG